AUACCGAGGGUGCAAGCGUUAUUCGGAUUUAUUGGGCGUAAAGAGCGUGUAGGCGGUUGGGUUAGUCAUAUGUGAAAUCCUUCUGCUCAACGGAAGAAGUGCGUCUGAAACUGCUCAACUUGAGUACGAGAGAGGAAAGUGGAAUUCCCAGUGUAGAGGUGAAAUUCGUAGAUAUUGGGAGGAACACCUGUGGCGAAGGCGACUUUCUGGAUCGACACUGACGCUGAGACGCGAAAGCGUGGGGAGCAAACAGGAUUAGAUACCCCUGUAGUCC
rnacentral:rRNA from 1 species